AUGGCGUCUUCUCAGGACGCUUGGUAUCUCUCGUUGUUGGGCCUGGCCGAGAAUUUCCGCACGUCGAACCCGCCCAACAUUAAAUCGUGCAUCCAAUGUCUGCAGGCGGUUUUCAACUUUAAGCCACCGCCGCGCGUCGAGGCACGCACUCACCUUCAGCUCGGCAAUAUCCUGCUUACGCACACGAAAAACAUCGAUUUGGCGCGAUCCCAUUUAGAACAAGCGUGGCGAUUAAGUCAAAAUAUAAAUACUUUCGAUGAUGUGAAGUUCGAAGCUGCUAGUAUAGUCGCGGAAUUAUAUGAGCAACAACAAUUGCCAAAUCUGAGCAAACCCAUAUUGAGGAAGGCGAUAGAGCUGUCCCAGCAUAAUGUCUACUGGCAUUGUAGACUUAUUUUCCAGCUCGCACAAAUUCAUGCUUCGGAGAAAGACUUUGUUGCGGCGAGCAGUCUGCUCGCAGUGGGUGUUGAUUAUUCCCACAUAAGCAAUGCCAGUUACACCAGAGUCCUCUUCCUUCUAAGUCGGUGUAUGCUUUUGCUGAUAGAUAAAAAGUUUUCAGAAGUUCAUCCUCUUUUGAACUCAGCAGGUCAUCAUGUAGAGAACUGGCAAGGCAGUCCGCACCAAAAAGAAUAUCUGAAAGUAUACUUUUUAGUUCUUCAAGUUUGUCAUUAUCUCAUGGCUGGUCAGGUAAAAAGUGUAAAACCUUGUCUGAAACAAUUACAACAGAGUAUACAGACCAUAAUGUCUCCUAGUUGGCCAUCAGAUGAUGUGGUUACAGGCACAAACAUAGGAGAUAUGUUUAUAUGGAUGCCGAAAGAUCAUCUAUAUGUGUUGGUUUACUUGGUGACUGUCAUGCAUUCUAUGCAAGCUGGAUACAUGGACAAAGCGCAGAAAUACACAGAUAAAGCUCUCACCCAAAUUGAAAAGUUGAAAGUUGCUGAUAACAAGCCUAUACUCUCAGUGUUUCAAUUAAUGCUCUUGGAACAUAUAGUUAUGUGUCGGCUUGUAAUGGGAAACAAAAGUGUGGCUCUUGCAGAAAUUUCUCAGGCUUGUCAACUCUGCAGGCGACAGCCGAGGUUACUUCAAGGUCAUAGACCUCAACUACACGCGUUACUAGGUUUAUACGCAAUGUCAAUGAACUGUAUGGAAGCUGCUGAGGCUCAAUUUACUGCUGCGCUCAGAACAUCACACGAAAGGGAUCUCUGGACAUUCGCGAACUUGAAUUUAGCGAUCGUAUACCUCAGGACGAAAAGAGAGGCUGAAUUGGGGGCGUUAUUAGAAAGGAUAAAUCCAGAAUCUCUACCGUCGAAUUCUCAUUCUUUAAGGGCAGCUGCAUAUUAUGUACAAGGACUUCAAGCUUUCUUUGGUGCUAGAUAUAACGAAGCGAAACGGUAUCUUAGGGAAACUUUGAAAAUGGCAAAUUCGGAAGACUUAAAUAGACUUACUUCGUGCAGCCUCGUGCUUCUUGGACAUAUAUUUCUUUCGUUGGGAAAUAGUAGGGAAUCGAUGAAUAUGGUUACACCUGCGAUGCAGUUAGCUUCUAAAAUACCUGAUGUGCAUGUGCAAUUAUGGGCUACAGCCAUUCUCAAAGAUUUAUAUGGACUCGUCGGUGACACUAAUCACGAAAAUGAAGCAUAUCAAAUGCAUUGUACAUUCUCCCAAACUCUCUUGAAGGACCACUUUCAGAGCACCCAAAUGAGCGCGCACUCGCUUAUUCAAUGGACAGAAGGUCCAGUGCCUGCUUUGCCGAGUAAUCCACCACCAUCUACGUCGCAAGCAAUACUCUAAUGAGAGUGAAAUGAACGAGAUUCUAAUGAGAAAUGAAAUCAGUUUAAAUUGUUCGACGAAUGUUUGCCGAAGCCAUACACGUUUGUACUACUUAUUCAUUGUUAAAGUGGAAUUGGAUUCAAAUGUCAACUGGAUAUUAAACAAAUGUUAAUCGAUAGUAUGCUGAAAAAUACUGAAUUAAUCAAUAUUGGAUAUAUAAUAUCCAGAACUUCGUUUUGAUAAUGAUUUACAAGUUGGAUUACACUGCACAGUACAGGAACUGACUAUACAUUUAAAUCGCUCUAAUAUGUUUUGUUGAUUUCAGUUGAUGUAUUUUAAUGUAAAUUAAAUUAUUCAUGCAUUAU
rnacentral:misc_RNA from 1 species